ACUCCUACGGGAGGCAGCAGUGGGGAAUAUUGGACAAUGGGGGACCGUAGCAUCCAGCCAUGCCGCGCUGUGUGAAGAAGGCCUUAUGGUUGUAAAGCACUUUAAGCGAGGAGGAGGCUACUGAGACUAAUACUCUUGGAUAGUGGACGUUACUCGCAGAAUAAGCACCGGCUAACUCUGUGCCAGCAGCCGCGGUAAUACAGAGGGUGCGAGCGUUAAUCGGAUUUACUGGGCGUAAAGCGUGCGUAGGCGGCCAUUUAAGUCAAAUGUGAAAU
rnacentral:rRNA from 1 species